rnacentral:misc_RNA from 1 species
UCCUCAAUAUGAAUUGGAGACUCUGUUUUUAUUGUAUUGUUGUUGAUCUUCUCCAAUAGUUCUUCUACACGUUUGGUUGUUACAUUAACAGAUUCCAACAACAUGUCCAGCUCAAACCUGUCAUCUUCACAUCGAAACAGGCUUUCUUCAUACUGGUUUUUGCGCAUGUGUUUAAAAGAGUAAUCUUCACUUCCCGAAGUGACAGAUACCCAAUAAUCAUUCAGUACUUCAACACCAAGUUCUGUCCUCUGGCUUGCUGAAGCAAUGGGAUAAUUCUUUGGCAGAAGUCGAUAACUGGGAGUGCAGCGCUCACAAUUAGAUAGGUCUAGUUCACUAAUUGGUUUCAAAAACUUAUCCUUGCUGGAAAAUAAAGACAUCUUAUGACCCCCUGUAUCUUUAUUAUUGCUAAAUGCUACAUUUUUGUCAAGUCUAUCCCUUUCCCGUGUUUCACGUUCUCUGUCUUUAACCGCAUCUUCCCUCUCGCGAUCCCGAUCCCGAUCCCUAUCCCUGUCCUCUAGCUUCACAGGUCUGGGCAAAUUACUUUCAUUCCACGAGGAUUUUUUACUCACAACACCAGCUAGCAGACCUUCAUUCUUCUCACAACGUGCCAAAAAUUCAUUGAAGCCAUCCAUAAGAUCAGAGUAUUUUCCAAGUAAAUCACCCACCAAAG